rnacentral:tRNA from 1 species
GGCGCUGUGGCCCAGUGGAAAGAGCGCGGGCCUGGGAGCCGGAGGACCUGGGUUCUAAACCCAGCUCGGCCA